rnacentral:rRNA from 1 species
CAGCCGCCACGGUAAUACGAAGGGGGCUAGCGUUGUUCGGAAUUACUGGGCGUAAAGCGCACGUAGGCGGAUAUUUAAGUCAGGGGUGAAAUCCCAGAGCUCAACUCUGGAACUGCCUUUGAUACUGGGUAUCUUGAGUAUGGAAGAGGUGAGUGGAAUUCCGAGUGUAGAGGUGAAAUUCGUAGAUAUUCGGAGGAACACCAGUGGCGAAGGCGGCUCACUGGUCCAUUACUGACGCUGAGGUGCGAAAGCGUGGGGAGCAAACAGGAUUAGAUACCCCUGUAGUCCCUGUCUCUUAUAC